rnacentral:rRNA from 1 species
UGGGGAAUCUUAGACAAUGGGGGAAACCCUGAUCUAGCCAUGCCGCGUGAGUGAUGAAGGCCCUAGGGUCGUAAAGCUCUUUCGCUGGGGAAGAUAAUGACGGUACCCAGUAAAGAAGUCCCGGCUAACUCCGUGCCAGCAGCCGCGGUAAUACGGAGGGGACUAGCGUUGUUCGGAAUUACUGGGCGUAAAGCGCGCGUAGGCGGACUAUUAAGUCAGGGGUGAAAUCCCGGGGCUCAACCCCGGAACUGCCUUUGAUACUGGUAGUCUUGAGUUCGAGAGAGGUGAGUGGAAUUCCGAGUGUAGAGGUGAAAUUCGUAGAUAUUCGGAGGAACACCAGUGGCGAAGGCGGCUCGCUGGGCCAUUCCUGACGCUGAGACGCGAAAGCAUGGGGAGCGAACAGGAUUAGAUACCCGUGUAGUCC